UGCGGGGGGGGCAAGCGUUGUUCGGAAUUACUGGGCGUAAAGGGCUCGUAGGUGGCCAACUAAGUCAGACGUGAAAUCCCUCGGCUUAACCGGGGAACUGCGUCUGAUACUGGAUGGCUUGAGUUCGGGAGAGGGAUGCGGAAUUCCAGGUGUAGCGGUGAAAUGCGUAGAUAUCAGGAGGAACACCGGUGGCGAAGGCGGGUCUCUGGGCCGAUACUGACGCUGAGGAGCGAAAGCGUGGGGAGCGAACAGG
rnacentral:rRNA from 1 species